AAAGUAUGAUUUUCACCUCGCUGAAAGGUUCAGCUUUUCCUUAUUUGCAGAUCUGAUGUAUAUAGUUUUGGGGUCAUUUUAUGGGAGCUGGCUACUCUGCGGGUGCCAUGGACAGAAAUGAACUCGAUGCAAGUAGUUGGAGCCGUUGGAUUUCAAGACAGACACCUUGACAUCCCGCCCAUGGUUGAUCCACUGGUUGCAGAUAUAAUACGCGAUUGCUGGAUUAGAAACCCACAGGGACGCCCUUCGUUUGCACAGAUUAUUGCUCGACUCAAACGCGUGCGUCGCCUUAGGGUGCAGAAAACAACUGAGAGUCGUGAAACCCAUCUCUGAUGUAACAAUAGCUCAGUACUCGUUCAAAGAACCAGCAGAGCAGGAGUGGGUUUUUAGAAAUCUUCAAAGGUACAGCUGCUAAGGAACAUAAUUGGAUUGGGUAGGCAGUGGUUCAUUGGCGAAGCUUGAUGCAGCCGGAAACAAAACUCGCCUGGACUUAAAACAAGUCUCAUAAGUGCAGCUGGGGGCAAACAUUAAAUUCUUGAGAAAA